ACCUGGCAUACAAUGUAGGUUUC
rnacentral:miRNA from 1 species